UGGGUAGUCCGUACGAGCGCACCUUGUCCCUAGUUGCCAGCACUUCGGGUGGGAACUCUAGGGAGACUGCCGGUGAUAAACCGGAGGAAGGUGGGGAUGACGUCAAGUCAUCAUGGCCCUUAUGGGGAGGGCUACACACGUGCUACAAUGGCCGGUACAGAGGGCUGCGAAGCCGCGAGGUGGAGCGAAUCUCAGAAAACCGGUCGUAGUCCGGAUUGCAGUCUGCAACUCGACUGCAUGAAGCCGGAAUCGCUAGUAAUCGCGGAUCAGAACGCCGCGGUGAAUACGUUCCCGGGCCUUGUACACACCGCCCGUCACACCAUGGGAGUGGGCUGUACCAGAAGUAGGUAGUCUAACCUUCGGGAGGGCGCUUACCACGGUGUGGUUCAUGACUGGGGUGAAGUCGUAACAAGGUAGCCCUAGGGGAACCUGGGGCUGGAUCACCUCCUUU
rnacentral:rRNA from 1 species